UAGAACUCCACUUUUUCACAACAGCAUUCUGCUCUUCCUCAAAAAUUUCCAUGAUAUAUCGUUACACAUUUGCCGUCCUCUGCCCACGUACACAUUUUACCCGGUUCCCUGAAGUGAUACCACAGCCAAUCGAUGCUGGCAAAUGGAUUAGUGUAGUGUAGAGUGUGCAGUGUAGAGAUCGAAGAUGUGGAGCAAAAACAGCUAUUGUAUUCUUAUGUAUGAUCUUGGGAUGUUUUGGGAAAGGAAACCUUUCAAGGAGCUCACAAAAAUUUUAAAUCCUCUGAAUUAUGUUAGUGAAACUUGAAAUUUGAUGGUUGAAGAAGCAUUUUUCCCAAGCUGUCAUUGGAUGUUUACAAAUAAAAUUGGAAGAAAAAUUCUUGAAUCUGGAUGAAAUCGUGGAUUUGUUUAUGAAAACUACCAACAACUUUUUGUCUCAGGUAUGACAACAUUUUUUUCAGUUGCAAAUUCAAUUAACUCCCAUCAAACACUGCUUUAAAAAUUUGUUUUGGUUUUUUUUGCACUAUAUUUUCUAUACAGCUAAUCAGCAAGCAAAUUUUUUAAACUGCAAGCUAGCCUAAUCCUAACAAGUUUUUUAAAAUUAAAAUGUUUAGCCACAUGCUUUAUUGCAAAGGUUUUACUGACAAGUGUCAUAUCAUAGAUAUCUAUCUUAUCAACAUUUUUGAUUGUCUGCUGGUUGGGUAGUCCGAUCAGGUCUUAAGUUUAGCGGAGAUUUCAGUAUGUUAUGUUUAUUUAAACAAUUUUUGACUCAUAAUGAUGGAAUUGAUUUUCAUAUAGUCCCAUACAAACAAUGACCUGAGUUUCAUCCUGCAUUAUAUUCAGUUGUAGUGCGUGACCGGAAUAUGUCUAAUGAAAAUAUUGGCAGUUGGAUACAACUUUCCACUGUAAACUGUAUUACACAAUCUGUAUCAAAGGUGCACUGAAAAGUAAAAUUUGUUUCCUCAUAUAGUUUUAUUUAAUAUACUUAGGUUUUGCUAUUUUUGGCAAGAGCUUGUACUGUGUGAUG